GCCUAGUGCUCUGCUGGGCAGAGCAGAAGCUCAACACGUGUGAUGCGUGAUCAAUGGCAGAACCCCAGGGGCCCUCUCUCUGAGAAGACAUGUGCCCUCCCUCUUUCCUUGCUGAAGUGGUGGGCAAGAAAAUGGACCCAGAUGGAGCUCACACUUGCUCUUCUCAAAGACACGUUUUCCCUCAUAUACUCGUCCUUUACCUUCCUGGUCAAAAUGUGAAGUCUAACUGGUUUUUACCUGUCCUCCUGUCUUGUGGGACAUUUCCAAAAGAGGGAACAGCCUGUGAUGAGCAGAAACCUCACAGCAGCACAGACCAGAGCUCUGUCUGGAUACCAUGGGCACUGCUGUCUGAGGUCUGAAGAGUCUCUGGAUAAAGGGUCCGUUCCUGGUGGUCUGUGGCCCCCACCCCAGAUCCUAAGACUGCUGUGGAUUGACGUGGGGAGGAAGCUGGGAACAAGCUGGGAACAGCUGGAGGGGACGAAAACUGAGGACAUGCUGACUGUUCUGGGAGACAACUUCCUGCCAUCUGCCUCUCCUUCCCCACAAUGGCAGGCCUGAAGAGGAAGAAAAAGCAAGCAAGUUUAAUUAUUCUGAACAUAUCCUGGGACAUUUCAGAGUCCCCUACAAAGGAACUGAAAUGUUGCAUGCUCUUUAACGCUAAACGUCACUAAUGAGAAAUUGUUGUUGUUGUUGUUCUGCCUGUAAGACAUUUUGUGGAUGACGUUCGGCCAGUCAGCACUUUCACAGACGUGGGCAUGUCAAUGGUUAAUUGUUUGAGGCAGAAACCACUCGGUGUUGCAAAAUCAGUUUGCGCUGCUUUUGACACACACUGGUAUGGGUUAGAUACUUCAGGGUGAAACUAAUACACGGAAUAAGUCUUUAAUUCAGUCAUUCCCCCUACCUGAGGCAAAUCCCAUGGGUUUCAUAUGAUGUGAAUCAUCCCCACUCAGAGAUAACUAAACACAUUAAGAAAAGGUA